GUGAGGAAUAUUGCGCAAUGGAGGCAACUCUGACGCAGCCAUGCCGCGUGCAGGAAGAAGGCGCUACGCGUUGUAAACUGCUUUUAACCGGGAAGAAACCCCAGGACGUGUCCUGGGUUGACGGUACCGGAGGAAUAAGCACCGGCUAACUUCGUGCCAGCAGCCGCGGUAAUACGAAGGGUGCAAGCGUUAUCCGGAUUCAUUGGGUUUAAAGGGUGCGUAGGCGGAGCGUUAAGUCAGUGGUGAAAUCCUGCAGCUUAACUGUAGACUUGCCAUUGAUACUGGCGCUCUUGAGUGCGCUUGAAGUGGGCGGAAUGUGCCGUGUAGCGGUGAAAUGCUUAGAUAUGGCACAGAACGCCAAUUGCGAAGGCAGCUCACUAAGGCGAUACUGACGCUGAGGCACGAAAGCGUGGGGAUCGAACAGGAUUAGAUACCCCAGUAGUCC
rnacentral:rRNA from 1 species